AUAAAAGCCAACAUUGUGUCCAGAUUCCUGUAAGCUCUGCUUGCUUCAGUGACAGUUUACAAGUGCAGUUAAUGAGUUAAUGUGAAGAUACAAACUCUUAUUGAAAGGGAAUGACUAUAUUACAUGAAGAAGAAAAAAAUAAGUCAUGAAGUCUUCAGAAGCCUCAUGGGCCAAAAGCAGAGAAAGGGAGAGAAAAUACAAUAUCCACAUGCCUGCAAGAAAUACAAUGGAUACUUCAGAAAAGAAAAAGACAUCCAAGGAGUAGAACACUUGGUGAACUUCAUGAAGGGUAUCACAUUGAUGACAAGGAUAUCACAAAAUGACAAGGGAAAGAUCAAAGGCUUUAUGAAUCCACUGUGGGAAUAUUUACUGUGGCUAUAGUGGAGAUAUCCAGAUAAGGUUUAAAUAUCUUCCCUAGUUCUGAUAUAAAUCCUUUAGUCAUAGAAUCAUAGAAUCGCUAAGGUUGGAAAAGACCCAAAGGAUCAUCCAGUCCCACCAUUCGCCCUUCACCAAUGGUUCUCGCUAAACCAUGUCCGUCAGCACAACAUCCAAACGCUCUUUGACACCACCAGGGUUGGUGACUCCACCACCUCUCUGGGCAGCCCAUUCCAGUGCCUGACCACCGUUUCAGAGAAAUAGUUAUUUUCUAACGUCCAGCCUGAACCUUUCCUGGCACAGCUUGAAGCCAUUCCUUCUAGUCCUAAUGUCCUCAUGUUUUUCACCUAAAGAAAAUUUUCUUUCUCUUGUGAGUUUAGUGAUCUGCAUAUAUUGUAAAUGGUUUGAAGAGUUCUGAGUAGAUAUGAUCAUCUCAUACAAGUUUAAUGUAUAAUUAAACAAGUCAUUUAAUCAUGUUCAUUGAUUUCCCAUACAGAUUCCACGGAAGAAUGGCUUAUAACAUGUGGUGUAUACAACACAUGGAAAUUAUUCUUGUGAUGCAUUUGAAUGCUUAUUUCAAAAUAGCAUAUUCCCCUGGAAAAAGUGUCUUUUUGGAUAAAAUUCCUCUUUGAAUUAUUUAGGUAGAGAUGAUGAAUGCGCUCUUCAGAGCAAAUAUAGUGGUGUCCAAGGG
ensembl:lncRNA